GAUGAACGCUGGCGGCGUGCUUAACACAUGCAAGUCGAACGGGAUCCAUCAAGCUUGCUUGGUGGUGAGAGUGGCGAACGGGUGAGUAAUGCGUGACCGACCUGCCCCAUGCUCCGGAAUAGCUCCUGGAAACGGGUGGUAAUGCCGGAUGUUCCACAUGAUCGCAUGUGAUUGUGGGAAAGAUUUCAUCGGCGUGGGAUGGGGUCGCGUCCUAUCAGCUUGUUGGUGAGGUAACGGCUCACCAAGGCUUCGACGGGUAGCCGGCCUGAGAGGGCGACCGGCCACAUUGGGACUGAGAUACGGCCCAGACUCCUACGGGAGGCAGCAGUGGGGAAUAUUGCACAAUGGGCGCAAGCCUGAUGCAGCGACGCCGCGUGAGGGAUGGAGGCCUUCGGGUUGUAAACCUCUUUUGUUUGGGAGCAAGCCUUCGGGUGAGU
rnacentral:rRNA from 1 species